AAUAAAAUAAAUCUGGAUGAUAUAUGUACAUGGCAUGUGACACCUAUGCAACAAUGUCAAUUGGUCACACAAGUCACUUAAGUGACUAAAUAAAAUAAAUCAAAAAAAAAAUAAAAAAAAUGUGGGCCUUUGGAUCAAAAGAGAAAGUCAACAAGAUCUAACGGCCACGGGAUCGUCUUCUUCCUCAAGACACUCCGGCCAUGAACAG
rnacentral:lncRNA from 1 species